CGCGCCGAGCACGGGAGUCCAGUGAGCUGGGCUGAGAGGGAGUUCUCCAACUCCGACCGUAGAACCUGAUCCGGAUCAUGCCGGCGCAGGGAGCUUCGCCGGACGACCG
rfam:Brachybacterium phenoliresistens strain W13A50 genomic scaffold V9__scaffold_12, whole genome shotgun sequence.